AGGCCUACACAUGCAAGUCGCACGGUCAGCAUAUGGCAGUGGCGGACGGGUGAGUAACACGUAGGAAUCUAUCCUGGGGUGGGGGACAACAGCGGGAAACUGCUGCUAAUACCGCAUGAUUACCUGAGGGUCAAGGCGCAGUCGCCUUGGAUAGGAGCCUGCGUCUGAUUAGCUUGUUGGUGGGGUAAAGGCCUACCAAGGCGACGAUCAGUUAGCUGGUCUGAGAGGAUGAUCAGCCACAUUGGGACUGAGACACGGCCCAAACUCCUUACGGAGGCAACAGUGGGGAAUUAUUGAACAAUUGGGGUAACCCUGAUCCAUCAUGCCUCUGGUGAAGAAAGUCUUCCGAUUUAACCCUUUUGGAGGAAAAUUAUUAACGGU
rnacentral:rRNA from 1 species